rnacentral:misc_RNA from 1 species
AUGGCACUUGCAACAGUGUCGAAAUAUCGGGAGUCUCAUAUCCCCAUUUAAACGCGUCGAAAAAGAAGGUGAAACGGAAGAUACCGAAGAUAGUGUGUCCGGAAGCCAAAAGACCUAAAAACAUGGACACCCUAUGCAAGAUUUUUGUGACCACGGCUCAGGAUUGCUGUGUCUGUAUCAAAGUCCUGUUCUACUACUUCUCAGAGAUAUGCCGUAUGGUAACGUGCCUGCAACACGGAAAGAGGCCGACCACCAAUUUCAGUAAUUUAUUUUGCCAACUUGGUGACGUCACGAUUCGGUUGUUUAAGGACGUCUAUACAUUAGCAAAGUUCGCCUAUAGGCAUGUCCGUAAAUUCUACCACAAAAUUGAGAAAUGUCUCUAAAAGGCAAACGUUUAUGGUCGCCGUACGGUCACGAGCAUUAAUAUGCACUUUGGUACCGCGUCACAUUAACUUUUUUGACAAAUUGAACUGUAAGUCUUACUAAAUGUCAAAUAUGUUAGUGCGACAGAGUCCUAAAGUGGGUACAUUAUAUUGCUCAUGACUGUACAGUACACUCCACUUUUAACAACAUCUAAGAGUGGUAUUAAUAAACUAAUCUCAGCUGAGACUGCCCUCAAGAUCAUGCUCAAGUCUCUGUUUUUAUAUGAGAACUGUGAAAUUGACAUGAUCUUGCGGGCAGUCUCGAAGCUGAGAUUAGUUUAUUAAUACCACCCUUAGAAUACAAGUUUCAGUGUCUUGUGGUCAAAGCCGC